rnacentral:rRNA from 1 species
UACGUAGGGGGCAAGCGUUGUCCGGAAUCAUUGGGCGUAAAGCGCGUGUAGGCGGUUCGGUAAGUCUGCUGUGAAAGUCCAGGGCUCAACCCUGGAAUGCCGGUGGAUACUGUCGGGCUCGAAUCCGGAAGAGGUGAGUGGAAUUCCUGGUGUAGCGGUGAAAUGUGUAGAGAUCGGGAGGAACACCGGUGGCGAAGGCGGGUCUCUGGGCAAUUCCUGACGCUGAGGCGCGAAAGCGUGGGGAGCAAACGGG